UUCAAGACAAGAAAGAGAUAGAUUUUUCUUUGCAAAACAUUUUUCCUACAGGAACUUGAUUCAGGGAAUAUAGUCCCUAAAAAUUUACUUCCAUUAGCAUGCAGCGGACAGAGGAUGCUUCUUGGGGAGAGUGGUCCAGGUGGGGUGGAGUCUGUGAAAAGUUAUGCCAGUGCGUCCCCGUCGGCUGCUGGGUGUCUGUUUACUCAGAAGUACUCACUGAGCACCUUGGCAAAGCAAAGUUUAGAAAGAAAAGGGACACAUACAUAGUCUACUAAUGACAUUUUUAAUGACUAAGUUGACUUUAAGCGAGUUUUAUAGUCAUUUUCUUCAAAUAUACAUAAAGUCAGGUUAACUUCUCACCACUUCACAUAAAUUAUGCCCAGAGGUCUAAUAGACUUGAUCUUACUCAGACACAGCUAGGAAAAGCAAUAAAGGAAAAAAAGUGUCUUUCAUGCAAUAGUAAGUUUAAAUGACAAACUUGAGCUGCUUUUUUCCCUCAGGUCAGUCAAGGAACAAUGAUUUAAAUUUCCUCUAUCAUGUCACUUAGCUGUGGAUAUUCUGGAAACCACUGCAGCGCAUUAUUUAGGGCAGAUGGUUUGUGUUAAUUUGGGGAAGAGCUCAGCUGCAAACUUUGGGGAGGUUGGUGGCCAGGAACUUUGAGGUCCAGCCCGUCUCCUCUAGAAGGUCCCCACCACCGCUCGAGGUGUCUGGGCUCCUCCCGACGUCCUGCCGCCGCAGGCAGCGGGGCUCCCAGGGAAGCAGGGUGGGGAGGCCCAGGUCGGGCAGACGAGUCUGGGAUCCAGGCCCCUGACUCGAGCCAGGGUUGCUGGGGGUGUUGGUGACCCCCAGCCAUCUUCCCAUCUGUCAGUCAGUGUCACUGAACUCAGUGACAGGAGAGCCCGUCCCGAGCUCCUGACUCAGGCCUGUCGCUCCCCCGCCUCCCUGGGCUCCCUCCCAGGACUGGAGGCCCUGAGGCACCGUCUCUCUCUCGGGAGGGCCACCCUCUGCUUGGGGCUGAGGGAGGACGGGGUCUUUCCCCACGCUUUCUAGCUACGUUGGCACCUUGGUCUCACCCGGACAUGAAGUCUCACCCCGUGGGCAUCCCCGCGAAGGGCCCUGGGUGCGAACGCUCCACCUUGAAUGGACGGAGGCCCCUGGCUCAGGGGCAAAUGCAGCAGGAACAGGGGGCUGGGGACACGGCUCACCGUCCAGGCCCAGGCACGCCUGCCAGUUUGGGACUGGAGUCUUGACUAUGGGAAGUGGGGUUUAAAGUGUGCGGUGUGACUUGGAUGUCAGUCACGUCGCGUUAUUGCUAGAAGCUGUGCUUUUUCAUAGCCUCACCCAGGUGCUGGUGGAGAGACGGGGCAGCCACUGACCAGGAGGGGCGGGGUGGAGAGGAGCAGACCCCCAGCAAGCCGGAGGCCCCCAUUUAGGAAGAAUUCCCACGGCCCCCGGCACCCCUCCUGCCGUGGGAACGUCCUCCCGGCCAGCCGAGGAGGUGCGUGCAGGGCACUGGAUGUCACACAGCCCAGAAUUACACGUCCCAGGCUGGCUGGUGCUCAGGGUAUCAGGGAGGAGGGCUCUGCCGGGCUGGCGGGACCUCCGGGUCUGCAGCCUCAGGACCUGACCUCUGACCUCGCGGAGGCCUGCCCUGGGGGUGGGGGUUGGGGAUGAGACUGGCUGGGGCCCAGCAGCAGAGGAACUUGGAGGUCACCCCUGCGCAGGGCUCGCACCGCCUCCUUUUCAGGGUGAAGAACGCGCCACAUCCAGCAAAGGGGGUCUUAGACAGGUGUCAACGCCCUCCUGCGCCCUGCGCCUGGUUGCCCGUCUGCGGCCGUGGAGUGACAGUCGUCUGUGUUUUAACCCGGGACCCGCCAGCCAUGGCUUCAGUGUGGGGCUGUCACCUGGGAUGCAGGAGGCUUGGGGGGAUGGACAGUUGGGUCAGCGUCUCGGUUCCCCAGGACAGCGGGCUCAGAUGGGGCCCAAGGAGGUGGCGGUGUGACUUCCCCAGGGGAAUGCAGGCUUCCCCGAGGAGGUGGGAGGGCAAGGCGGGAGCCGGUGCGUGGACGUUCUUGGGCCUCCGUCUGCUCUUCUGCGCGCGUGGGCAGGUUGAAUGGCAGGUCCCAGUGCCCCCAGGUGUGGACGCCCAGUGUCCCCGGGUGAUGCUGGCCCUUGCUCCCGGCCACUCGGGUCAGCAGGCAGAUGGGAAGCCACUGGUACCUAGAAGCUCAGACACCGCAAAGCCACAGGCGCCGCGGGCGCUGCACCUGCAGCCGGGCCGCCUCCCCUCUGUGGGCGUGGGCUCAGCAGGGCCCCAGCCCCUCGGGCUCACUCGCUGGGGAAGGGCCCGGCUGUGAAUAGGCCUGCGUGCAGGCAGGAAGCAGGUGGGCCCUCUCCUGCUGCUGUUUGCGGGGCUCAGUGUCUCCGGAAAAUGCAACCUUGGUUUCUGCGGAAAUGGCCUUCCCUCCACCCCUCAGCCCCAGCUUUCUACGGCUUUUCUCUUUAAAGGUCUGAGCAGCUAAACCCAGGAGUCAUGGAAACCUUUACCACCUCCAUUUUUUGAAACUGUUGAAAAUUCUGCUCAAAGACUGUAAUUUAAUCCUCGUUCUUAAAUAAUAAUAGUUACAGUACAGGUGGACGUGGCCGUGCCGGGUGAGCGGGGCUGCCGUGGUUCUCCUGCUGGACGCCUUCUGCGAGGUUCUCUGUUGGGUGUAAGUGACCGGCCGUCGGUAAAGCCACGCCCAGUCUCUGUGGUACGACGGACACUACUUCUCCUGGUCCCUCGAGGAAACGUAGGAGUCCGCUGACUGCAGAGGAACUCUGGCAUCGCCUGAGGUACUGCUUGCAGUUUUGGACUUAAAGUUCCUAGCAGUUUGCUGACCUACUGACUGUCUGCUGUUCAGGACGUGCCCUGCUCCUGGGUGACGCUGCCCUGUGCGUCCAGCAGUGUCCGUCCUCACACGUUCGCCGUGCCCAGUGGUCCAGACCUCCUGUGCUCUUGGAGGCGUCCUUGGAGAGAAGCCGUCAGGCCACCUGGCAUCCCGCCUUCCUCGCCCUCCUGCAGAUUCUCCUGCGCUUAUAAAAAAUAAUGAAGUUCCCGGUGCCUUUUGCUCGUUUCUUCCGGUGCUGACCCUCGCAGGACCGAAGCAGUGUUCCCGCAGCCAGGGUUCUGACCAGACGGGGAGACAGAGGCUCCUCAUGACAAGACACCCCCCCGACCCCCAAGGCGGCUCUACCGGAGCACUCGCCCUCGCCUGGCCCACCCUGUCCUCGCGGCCCCUGGCUGCUCUCCGCCUCCGUGAACCUGCCCUUUCCCGGUGCUCAGGGACGGAAUCCCACAGCGUGCGGCCGGCUGAGCAGCCCUUGUCCCUCCGCACACCCCCGGCCCGGCGGCUCCGCGUGCGCCCCGGCGCCCGUCUCUCCCAGUGUUGAGCAGAGCCCCCGGGGGGACGGCCCGCGCUGUAUCAAACGGCGCCCGCCGGGG